GGAAUUGCUCCCGAUACUGGCAAACUAGAAUCCCAAAGAGGAAAGCGGAAUUCCUAGUGUAGAGGUGAAAUUCGUAGAUAUUAGGAGGAACACCAGAGGCGAAGGCGGCUUUCUGGGUGGGUAUUGACGCUGAGGCGCGAAAGCGUGGGGAGCAAACAGGAUUAGAUAACCCUGGUAGUGCACGCCCUGGACGAUGGAGUGUGAGAGGCUGGGUCCUUGAGGCUCAGUGUCGUAGUUAACGCGUUAAACACUCCGCCUGGGUAGUACGGCCGCAAGGCUAAAACUCAAAGGAAUUGACGGGGACCCGCACAAGCGGUGGAGCAUGUGGUUUAAUUCGAUGCAACGCGAAGAACCUUACCAGCCCUUGACAUCCCGAUCGCGGACACCAGAGAUGGAGUCUUUCAGCUAGGCUGGAUCGGUGACAGGUGCUGCAUGGCUGUCGUCAGCUCGUGUCGUGAGAUGUUGGGUUAAGUCCCGCAACGAGCGCAACCCUCAUCUUUAGUUGCCAGCGAUUCGGUCGGGCACUCUAAAGAAACAGCCGGUGACAAGCCGGAGGAAGGCGGGGAUGACGUCAAGUCAUCAUGGCCCUUACGGGCUGGGCUACACACGUGCUACAAUGGCGACUACAAUGGGCAGCUACUCUGCGAGGAGAUGCUAAUCCCUAAAAGUCGUCUCAGUUCGGAUUGCACUCUGCAACUCGAGUGCAUGAAGUUGGAAUCGC
rnacentral:rRNA from 1 species